AUUUUCAGCCCAUGCAAUGUUCUGCAGGGGAAAGGAAACUGCAAACUACAUUUGGUCAGAGCAUCCUUCCUACGUAUUUAGAUGACAGUGUCUGAUAAACGUGAAACAAAUCCCAUUGGUUGAGUUUAUAUCACAAAGAGCCUUCUCUGUGUUUGUUCAAGCAAACCAUUCAACCAUCUUUCUAAAUGGAGUUGAUUAUUGUUCUUGUUUACUUGAUAGGUUUUAAAUCUUUUCCACCUGUGUUGUGUAGCUACACCAGAAUGAUCCACAUUCCUUUUUUUUGUUUUAGUUUGCCUGCUGGACUCAGAGUGUCAUCUACUCUUCGGAUUCUGGACAUGCGUCCGGACUGCAACCAAGAGGGUCUUGCCAACUGCAAAAUUAACAACUGCUCAGAGAAGCGCAUGGUCGUACCUAGAAUUGAUGCUCCUGUCGGCCCAGAAUGGGUUGGUGAGCAUGUGGGAGUCUGGAUGGACAAACAAGGGCCUGUUUCUGUUAUGAAUGUGACGUGGAAAAUAAGAUCUGA